CAGAUCUACUUCUUCCAUUUUCAGGGGACCUCUAGAGAGAGGCAUCCCCCUUAGUUACCUUUCCUGGAGCUAUGCCAAAACACUGGAAAGCACCCCAGGAGAGAAGAGCUUAUUCUGGCUUCCAGUUUGAGGUUGCAGUCCAUGGGGGGAGACGGGGGAAGAGGGAGAGAGAUGCUGGUGUUCAGCUCACUUCCACAUUUUAAUUCAGUCCAGCCCAUGGAAUGGUGCCAUCUACAUUUUGGGGCAGCUUAGAAGCAGGCAGGAAAUACAAGCAGAUAGACAGGAAGAAGAAAGGCUGAAGGGAAGAGACGCCAGCCAGCCACCCAAGGAGCAACAUGGAAUGGGACUCAGCCAGCUUCCUGUUCCUGAUACCAUGUUUCCUGACUAUUGCCACGCCUGCCCUGCCGUGUUGGAAUUUAUCCCUCCAGAGCUCUAAACCAAAAUAAAGCCUUUCUUUAGUGCUUUAUAUCAACUGAACACAGGCCUGAAACAUUUGUGAGGAGAGAACAUCAGUUGACAAAAUGUUCCCACCAGAUUAGCCUGUGGUACGUUUUUUUGUUUGUUUGUUUGUUUGUUUGUUUUGUUUUGUUUUUAAAUUUUUAUUGAUGAUGGAUGGGGGAAGACACAACUCACUAUGGACCCCCGGGGCUGGUGGUCCUGGGGUAAGAAAGCAGGUUAAAAUAGCCACAGGGAGUAAACCAGGAAGCAGCAU